rnacentral:rRNA from 1 species
GUGACGGCGCGAGCAGGUGCGAAAGCAGGUCAUAGUGAUCCGGUGGUUCUGAAUGGAAGGGCCAUCGCUCAACGGAUAAAAGGUACUCCGGGGAUAACAGGCUGAUACCGCCCAAGAGUUCAUAUCGACGGCGGUGUUUGGCACCUCGAUGUCGGCUCAUCACAUCCUGGGGCUGAAGUAGGUCCCAAGGGUAUGGCUGUUCGCCAUUUAAAGUGGUACGCGAGCUGGGUUUAGAACGUCGUGAGACAGUUCGGUCCCUAUCUGCCGUGGGCGCUGGAGAACUGAGGGGGGCUGCUCCUAGUACGAGAGGACCGGAGUGGACGCAUCACUGGUGUUCGGGUUGUCAUGCCAAUGGCACUGCCCGGUAGCUAAAUGCGGAAGAGAUAAGUGCUGAAAGCAUCUAAGCACGAAACUUGCCCCGAGAUGAGUUCUCCCUGAGACUUAGAGUCUCCUGAAGGAACGUUGAAGACGACGACGUUGAUAGGCCGGGUGUGUAAGCGCAGCGAUGCGUUGAGCUAACCGGUACUAAUGAACCGUGAGGCUUAACCUU